rnacentral:rRNA from 1 species
UGCCAGCAGCCGCGGUAAUACGGAGGGUGCAAGCGUUAAUCGGAAUUACUGGGCGUAAAGCGCGCGUAGGCGGAAUGUUAAGUCUCAUGUGAAAGCCCUGGGCUCAACCUGGGAACUGCAUGGGAUACUGGCAUUCUAGAAUACAGUAGAGGGAGGUGGAAUUUCAGGUGUAGCGGUGAAAUGCGUAGAGAUCUGAAGGAAUACCAGUGGCGAAGGCGGCUUUCUGGACCGAUACUGACGCUGAGACGCGAAAGCGUGGGGAGCAAACAGGAUUAGAUA